rnacentral:rRNA from 1 species
GAUGAACGCUAGCGGCAGGCUUAACACAUGCAAGUCGAGGGGUAUAGUUCUUCGGAACUAGAGACCGGCGCACGGGUGCGUAACGCGUAUGAAAUCUACCUUUUACAGGGGGAUAGCCCAGAGAAAUUUGGAUUAAUACCUCAUAGUAUGUGAGAAUGGCAUCAUUUUCACAUUAAAGUCACAACGGCAAAAGAUGAGCAUGCGUCCCAUUAGCUUGUUGGUAAGGUAACGGCUUACCAAGUCAACGAUGGGUAGGGGUCCUGAGAGGGAGAUCCCCCACACUGGUACUGAGACACGGGCCAGACUCCUACGGGAGGCAGCAGUGAGGAAUAUUGGACAAUGGGCGCAAGCCUGAUCCAGCCAUGCCGCGUGCAGGAUGACGGUCCUAUGGAUUGUAAACUGCUUUUGUACAGGAAGAAACACUGGUUCGUGAACCAGCUUGACGGUACUGUAAGAAUAAGGAUCGGCUAACACCGUGCCAGCAGCCGCCGUAACAC